AUGACCUAUGAAUCGACAGACAGUAUAGUCAAGUGUGUCUGUCAUUUCUAUAGGCCAAU
rnacentral:pre_miRNA from 1 species